UAAAUAAUAGGUGUUAACAUUUGCAUGAUUAAAUAUUUUAUCCUUAGCACUUAUUAUAAUUUUUAUCAUUAUUUUAUAUAAAUUCAUCUUAAAAGAAUGCAUCUUCCUAACUGCAGAACAGAGCCCAGAUUCAGCCAUCCACAAUGCAUCCCGAGCAUUUCCACGUUCGCAUCCAGUGCGUCCGAAUCUAAUUCUGCAGCCAGUUUCCGAGCUUCCUG
rnacentral:lncRNA from 1 species